rnacentral:rRNA from 1 species
UACGGGGGGAGCAAGCGUUGUUCGGAUUUACUGGGCGUAAAGGGCGCGUAGGCGGCCACCGCAAGUCGACUGUGAAAUCUCUGGGCUUAACCCAGAAAGGUCAGCCGAUACUGCGGGGCUAGAGUGCAGAAGGGGCAACUGGAAUUCUCGGUGUAGCGGUGAAAUGCGUAGAUAUCGAGAGGAACACCUGCGGCGAAGGCGGGUUGCUGGGCUGACACUGACGCUGAAGCGCGAAAGCUAGGGGAGCGAACAGG